UCUGUUAGUUUAUAUUAAUUUUUGUGUAAAUACAAAUAAAAACACAAUAAAUGAUGAUAUUAACUAAAAACUUUCUAAUGAUGUAAACUAUUAACAAAAUUAUACAAAAUAAAUACUUUUUGAUUCAAAAUCGGAAAUCAUCAGAUUGUACAAUGCAGCAAGAUGAAAUGUGACUGACAGUAAAAGGGGGAGAGCAUUAAAAUGAAUAGGAAGAAGAGAGCCACAAAGGAAAGAAAUUUAGUAAAAAAAAAAAAUAAGUAUGCAGCUAAAGAAAAGAGUAGAAUUGUAAAUUAUAGAAAGAACAUACCAAAUAGGAGGAAAAAUGAAGGAAUCUACCACAAGACAAAGAUGGAGUUGCCAAAAAAUAUGAAAGCUAAUACUAUGAGAGGAGACAAAAUAAAAAUGGGAUGAAAAAUGAAAGAGAAUACAAAUGGAAAGUUUUUAUACUCUAGAAAAUUUCUCAUAGCAGAUCAGAUUUGCAGCAUUAUUACUGAUGGAUUAUUAAAUGCAUGGGGACACUAUUCUGUUUCUAAAACUUCUGUAAAAAGUAAGGCAUUAACAGGGAAACUAGAUACAAUUUACUUUUGCAUCUUCCAAUUAGGAAAGAAAUCUCCAAUAAGUACUUCCC
rnacentral:lncRNA from 1 species